AAGCGUAUGGCCUCCAUCUUGCCAGCAGUGAUGAAUCCAAGCUGCCGUCGGGAAGAGGCCCGGCCGGAGCUGAGGUCCUCCAGGCCAGCGACCUGUGGGGAGCUGAAUUCUGCCAGCAACCAUGUGAGUUGGGAAGCAACUCUCCCCCAGUGGUGCUUACGCGUGAGACUGCAGAGCCUGUUCUCACGCCCUGAUUGUAGCCUUGUCAAAGACAUGAGAGUUUGGCCAGGCUCGGUGGCUCAUGCCUGUAAUCCCAGCACUUUGGGAGGCUAGAGUGGGCAGAUCACAUGAGGUCAGGAGUUCAAGACCAGCCUGGUGAAACCCCUUCUGUACUACAAAUGCAAAAAUUAGUUGGCCGUGGUGGCAGGCACCUCUAGUCCCAGCUACUCGGGAGGCUGAGGCAGGAGAAUCGCUUGAACCCAGGAGACGGAGGUUGCAGUGAGCCGAGAUCACACCACUGCACUCCAGCCUGGGUGACAAGAACAAGACUCCAUCUCAAAAAAAAAAAAAAACACACCCUAGAGCAAAGAACCCAUCUACACUGAAUAGCCUCCUGCCCCACAGAUACCAGAAAUCAUAAGUGUGUUUUGCUGUAAGACUCUAAGUAUCGGGCUAAUUUAUUUUGCAGCAAUAGACAACGAAUCCACCAGGCAACAAAUAGCAAAGACAAGAAGAAGAAUUAGUGGUAGAGUAUAGAGAUGUGUUUGUAUACUGAGCACCUACUAUGUGCCAGUCACUGUGUUAAGUACUGCACAGGCUUUGCCUUAUUUAUUCCUCACGUGAACUAUAGUCAUGCUUUAGUCACCUUUUACAGAUGAAGAAACUGAGGCUCAGAAAGGCCAAAAUGACUGGGAGGCUCCAGAGCAAGGCCCAGAGCCUGGCUCUGAGCUAAGGGCUGGUGGGAGAGGCAGGAGGUGACCCAGGAGCACCCACCCCACUUUCUGUUUUCCUCCCAGAUCCACUGUCAUCCACAUCCUUCUUCUCUUUGGGUACAGACACCCUUCAUGUUGUCACAUAGUGAUCACGUGGACAUAAAUGCACCUGCAAUAUGUUUAUGCCGACAAACUUCCCAGAAACGUAACAUCCAUUUUACCUGCACUUUUAAUAAGCAUUUAAUUCCUUCAAUUGUCUGGUGGUCCAUUUGCAGGAGAAACUGAACUACCUGAUCAUUUCUCACUUCACCUGCCGUAUGAGAAAGAGAUUCAAUUAGAAAAAUCUAUUGCUAAUUUGAAAGCUCUGAUUCUAUAAUUUCCUACAGGGAAGACAUGUAAAUUGCGUGUUAUUUAACACCCUUUCAUGGCAGGUGAGUUCCGCGGGGGGCAAUUAUAAUCCGCUCUCCACUCGUCUUACAGAUUCCUGACAAGCGGGGAGGAGGGAAGAGGGAGAAGGAGGAGGAGGGAGAACAGGAGAGCAUUUUGAAGGCUGGCUCCAAGUGGCUUUAGGAACCCAUGAAUUUAAAGGGCUUAAGCAGGUUGGUGCCUGCCGAGGGGCUGCCUGGGAACCCAGGCCAGACCCCACCCCCUUCAACUCUACAAGUCCUCUGGCCUUUCCCUAAGCAUCUGGAAAAUCACCGUGGCAGGGGGAGGGGGAGAGGGGUCAGGAUGCCAUGAUCCAUACUCCAGCCUUUGUCACCAGCUGUGUGGCACACAGCUGUCCCUUAAUCUCUCUGGCCCUGGUCUCCAUCUGUGCAAUGGGAAAACAUAACACUCCGCAGCCUGAGCUGCUGGGAGGACCAAACCCAGUAUCAAGUGUAAAACACAAAAGGGGACUUCACAAACUACAGAGCACUGUCCCCUGGCGAAGAGCACUAGCACUGGGAGCCGGACCUUAAAGCACCCACUCAGCAUCUCCCGCCCCACAAACUCCCUAGAAGGUUUUUCUCUAGUCGGACCUGAAUCUUUCUGGCUAAGGGUUUUUCAAGAUGAAACUAUUUCUUCCUACACAAUUAUAGCAAACAAGCUCUUUGUAGCACCCCCCUACACACACACACACACACACACACACACAUAUACACACCCGUGCACACACACAUGCAUGCACCAGGCACCCCUGGGUACAUGUCUCUGGAAGAAUGUUUCAGAAGCCAAGGGGUCUCUGGAGGCCUCUAGGGUGGGGAGCUGGGGAGGGAGGAAGCAGAGAGACCUAGUUUUUACCAAAAGCUUUUUGUAUAGCUUAGAUUUCUUCCCUCCUUCCUUUCCAUCGGAUGCACCCAUUACCUAUUCAAAAGCAUUCUUUCGUACUUUUAUACAUGUAUUCACUUUUUUUUUUUUUGACACAGAGUCUCUCACUGUCACCCGGGCUGGAGUGCAAUGGCUCAAUCUCACCUCACUGCAACCUCUGCCUCCCAGGGUCACUCGAUUCUCCUGCCUCAGCCCCCCAAGUAGUAACACUGUCACCCAGGCUGGAGUGCAAUGGCUCAAUCUCACCUCACUGCAACCGCCCGCCUCCUGGGGUUACAGGCGUACCCCACCACACCCGAUUAUUUUUUGUAUUUUUAGUAGAGACAGGUUUCACUAUGUUGGCCAGACUGGUCUCAAACUCCUGACCUCAUGAUCCACCUACCACAGCCUCCCAAAGUGCUGGGAUUACAGGUGUGAGCCACUGCGCCUGGCCCAUUUAUUCACUUUUAACAAAUGAAACAUCUGACCCCUGGCUCUUCCCUCUGUCUGCCCACCCUGGACCCCUAGCUUCCUGGCCUCCUCGGCCUCCUGCAGUCAUUCAGAACUCCUUGUUCCAGCACCUGCCCUCGCCAGACCCGGACCAGACUCCCCUUGAAGCUGGCAACCUGGAGCUGGUUCUAGAGGGAAGAGCAAAAGUGGCGCUGCUCCUUUCAGGGAGCUGUGAGCAGACACACCCCCAAACCCAAAUGCCCUUGCAUGGGGCGCCCUGCCGCCCAGCGGCCCUCCUUGCAGGCCCCACUGGCAGGCGGACGGGGGCGGGCGCCACCUGCUGGACACAAGUGAGAAGUGCACGCGGGUGCCUACUCUGAACUUGGUCCUUCCAGACUGAGUCCGGCUCGGGUCGCCAGCCCCAGGCGGUGUAUCCCGGGCUCCUGCCGGGGAGGCAACAUCCUCCUCCCCACAAGUUCAUCCCAACAGCUGCUUCAGGUGUUUUUCCCAGACGUGACGUUUUUACAUGUUAGAGGUGUGUCAGACUAAAAAUCUCCAUUCACUCCCCAAAUGUGCACCAAGCCAGAACAGUGACGUGGUGACCAACAAGAUAUUCAUGAUCCCGGCAGGCUCUGAGGACCGGAGGCUGAGAUUAAAUAACGUAUUACACAAAGAACCAUUUAACUGCAAGCACAACCUCCCUUAAUGGGGAAGGAGAGAACGGAGCGUGGGUUAAGUUGAUCUCCUCACCAGACAGAGGAGGCUCAGAGAGGUGGAGUGACUCCCCUAACAUCACACAGCAAGAGAAGAUGGGGCUCAGAUAGGGACCCGGUUGUCCAGGUCCCAGGAGGCUGGGAAGGUGCAGGUCCCUGGUAGACCCACUGCUAAUUUGCAGAAAUAGCCUCCAACCCCCCCCCCCACCAAGGGCCCAGGGAGGAGCUGUUUGCCCAAAGGCUUCUUUCAGCAGGUUCCAACCACUGCUAGGGGUUAGACAAGGCCCCCCGCAAGAGCUGCAGUCUCCUUUGCGUAAAGGGACAAGCAGACAGAACGGAGCCCUCAGACACUGUCCCUGAGAAGACAACCUUCCUCUGCUCACCUCCCUUUUCAGCAAACUAGCCCCCCAUCCUUCAUGACAGAAGAAGGCCUGCAGUAAAAUGUAGCACACCUGGGCCACUACAAAUUGCCAUCUCCUCCCCAGCCUCAGUUUCCCUGCCUGUCUGUAUAAUGAGAGGUCAAAACAGAUGGUCUAAAGGUCAAGGUUCACCUAAGUGCGGUAACCCUCUCUUCCCACCUCCCUUCAUCAACCAGUGCAGAGAUGUACAUGAUUCUCCGCAGUGCUGGAUGUCCUCAGUUUCCCCAAAAUGACCUGGCUUUGGGAGACAAGGCUGAAAUGACGUGGUGACUGUGGAGGCCAACAGGACUCCCUGGCCACUUGUCUGCUCGAGGAGGUAGCCAGCAGGACAGCUUACCAUCCCUUGGGAGGGUGAUGCAAUCCAUGGGCAGCUGGGAGGGCCCCUGGGCAGGACCCCUCCCUGUCUGAGUUUUGGGCCCUCUCUGUGACCUGCAGACUCUCCCUGAGCUGGAAUCGAAAGUCUCCUGUGGGUGAAUCCUGCACUUCUCUAAACGUGGUGGAAAGGGCAGGGCAGGUUCAAGUCCAGCUCCCAACCUGCCACUGCCGUUUUCUUUUUUCUUUUCUUUCUUUCUCUCUUUCUUUUUCUUCUUUCUUUCCUCCCUCUCUCCCUUUCUCUCUCUCCCUUCCUUUCUUCCUCUCUCCCUCUCUUCCUCCUUUCUUUCGAUGGAGUUUUGCUCUUGUUGCCUAGUAUGAAGUGCAGUGGUGCCACCUCAGCUCACUGCAACCUCUGCCUCCCAGGUUCAAGCAAUUCUUCUGCCUCAGCCUCCCAAGUAGUUGGGAUUACAGGCAUGCACCACCACGCCUGGCUACUUUUUUAUUUUUACUUAUUUAUUUUUGUGAGACAGAGUCUCACUUUGUCACCCAAGCUGGAGUGCAAUGGCAUGAUCUCAGCUCACUGAAACCUCCACCCACUGGGUUCAAGAGAUUCUCCUGCCUAAGUCUCCCAAGUAACUGGGAUUACAGGCACCUGCCACCGCACCUGGCUAAUUUUUCUAUUUUUAGUAGAGACAGGGUUUCACCAUCUUGGCCAGGCUGGUCUUGAACUCCUGACCUCGUGAUCCACGACGCCCAGCACCGCCACUGCUGUUUUCAAAGGCUUGUGCCCUUGGGCAGGUAACCUCACUGGCCCACUGGUGUCCUGUCUCUUUGUUCCCACGCAGAUGUUGGUGACACCUGCCUCCCAGGUUAUGGCAAGUGAGAUGAGAUAAUCCCAUCAGCAGAAGGCAGAGUGCCUUGAGGGCAUUGGCACUCAGAGAUUUAACCCUGAUCGUGAUGGCUGCUCAGGCUGGCCUGUGUCAGCCUCCCCAAAUGAUGAAUGAAGAAUGGAUGGGAAAGCAAGGCACGGUGGCUCACACCUGUAAUCCCAGCACUUUGGGAGGCUGAGGUGGGUGGAUCACCUGAGGUCAGGAGUUCGAGACCAGCCUGACCAACAUGGUGAAACCCCAUCUCUACUAAAUACAAAAAAGUAGCCAGGCGUGGUGGCGCAUGCCUGUAAUCCCAACUACUUGGGAUGCUGAGGCAGAAGAAUUGCUUGAACCUGGGAGGCAGAGGUUGCAGUGAGCCAGGAUCGUACCAUUGCACUCCAGCCUGGGCACCAAGAGCAAAACUCCAUCGAAAGAAAGGAGGAAGAGAGGGAGGAAGGAAGGGAGGGAGAGAAAGGGCGAGAGGGAGGAAAGAAGGAAAAGAAAGAAAAAAAAGGAAGGAAGGAGCUAGGGAGGAAGGGAGGGAGGAGGGGAAGGAGUGAAGAAGGAAGGAAAGAAAGGAAGGAAGGAAGGGCAAACUUGGACCUUGGAAAUGCUUGGUUCUCUUGCGUCUGUGACUUCACUUAACCCCCACAAAACCCCUGCUUACAUCAUUUUACGCUUGGGGAAACCGAGGCUCAGAGAAGGGAAACACAUUCCCAGUGUCACGCAGUGCUGGGUUCCAGCUGGGCAGUCUUAGAAUCAAAGCCCGGUCUCCGGGGAGGGAAAGCUGCAAUUCGUCAGGGGAACAGCCUGGGCCACCGGGGCCGCGUUUCGCUGGAAAAUCACUCCCUUCUCAUCACAGCCGGCACCUCCCGACCUCGGCCACACGGGGGCAGCAGCGCCUCGGCCACGGCCGGGCCUCGCGCUGUUUCUUCGUGCUGGGAACGCCCGGGCGGCUGCGGCGGCAGAGUUCCAAGCAGGAAGGGGCCACGUCAGGGACCUCUAGGGUCUGCGAGGGGCCCGGGCUUGGUCCCGCCGCCCGGCUGCCUUCGUGCAUGGAGGUCGGCUGUAUGUUAGCCCCAGACCUGUCUGUCUGGCUGUGUGAUCCAGCUUCUCUGGAGCGACCUGGCCAGGCCAGUGGACCACGUGGCCGCCUCUGCCAGCCCCCAGGGGCGACUCAGUGGACUUAACGCCCCCACCUACCUGAUCAAGGCCCGAGUUUGUCAAGCCACCUGGCCCUCUGGAGACACCAGGAAACAAAGUCAGCAGUUCCCCAUGAGCCAGGCUGGGGAAACAGCCUUCCAGGAGGGGCGACCAAGGCCCCCACCCAGCCGACCACCUGCCCGCCCUCAGGAACACCAUCACAGUCCAGGGCAGCCGCCCUCUGCGGGAGGGAAGACAGCCUCGGGCAUGGAUGACAACAGAUUACUUUUUGGGGAGAUUCACUUUUUCUCCUCUGUAAAAAUAGGCCCACCUUUCAGGAUGACGAAAAUCGGUUUGAACCACAUCUGGGUGUGCCUUCGGAUUGAGUUGCGCACUACAGAUUGCCACAGGCUUCGCGGCUCCCUGCUGCAUCCCCAGCUCUGCGGACCCAGUCUCCUUGAAUCGGCCCAUUCUUUCAUUAUGUGGAACUAAUGAAGGCCUCGCGGAGUCCCUGCUCAGGAAUAGGGCCCUUAAAUAAAACAUGUUUCAUUGAUCAACUU